rnacentral:misc_RNA from 1 species
AAAUGCGAUAAGUAGUGUGAUUUGCAGAAUUCAGUGAAUCAUCGAAUCUUUGAACGCACAUUGCGCCCUUUGGUAUUCCUUAGGGCAUGCCUGUUCGAGCGUCAUCUAAACCUUCAAGCCCUGCUUGGUGUUGGGUGCCUGUCCCGCCUCCGCGCGCGGACUCACCUCAAAUCCAUUGGCGGCCCCCGCGUCGGCCACGAGCGCAGCAGAAACGCGAACUCGUGAGCCCGUCCGGGCGGCUCCCAGAAGCUACACCCACCCAGUUUGACCUCGGAUCAGGUAGGGAUACCCGCUGAACUUAAGC